rnacentral:lncRNA from 1 species
UAACUCUGAGAGUUUUUGGAUCUUCUCGCCCCCAUAUCCUAGGACAAUCGCCUGCUGAUCAUGGAUGGGCAAACAUUGAGAGUCGAGCCAAGCCGCUCGAUUCUAUCUCCAACAUAUGCUGUGCUCCUCCUAACCUGAGAACUGCUUAGGAUAUCAUUCUACGACAAUAAGAAUCUCAUCCUGCGAUAUCAUCUCUUAUCCUUUCGAGUCUCGCAUCUCGUGCUCGAUCCAUCUCCACCUGGAGCUCUACCUCACUCUGAACUCUUCCUGACUCUUGAAGCUCCACAUCGCACUAGACUCCCCACCAGGUAGUAAUGACCUCUCAUCCUCUUCUUCCUCUCCAGAAUAACCCUAUCACGAUGCAACAC